rnacentral:rRNA from 1 species
CGCUAUCACUCCUACGGGGAGGCAGCAGUGGGGAAUAUUGCACAAUGGGGGAAACCCUGAUGCAGCCAUGCCGCGUGUGUGAAGAAGGCCUUCGGGUUGUAAAGCACUUUCAGUAGGGAGGAAGGUAGUGUAGUUAACACCUGCAUUAUUUGACGUUACCUACAGAAGAAGCACCGGCUAACUCCGUGCCAGCAGCCGCGGUAAUACGGAGGGUGCGAGCGUUAAUCGGAAUUACUGGGCGUAAAGCGCAUGCAGGCGGCCUGUUAAGUCAGAUGUGAAAGCCCGGGGCUUAACCUCGGAAUUGCAUUUGAAACUGGCAGGCUAGAGUCUUGUAGAGGGGGGUAGGAAUUUCAGGUGUAGCGGUGAAAAUGCGUAGAGAUCUGAAGGAAUACCAGUGGCGAAGGCGGCCCCCUGGACAAAGACUGACGCUCAGAUGCGAAAGCGUGGGGAGCAAACAGGAUUAGAUACCCUGGUAG